AUACGUAGGUGACAAGCGUUAUCCGGAUUUACUGGGCGUAAAGGGCGUGUAGGCGGUCUUGCAAGUCAGAAGUGAAAUUCCUGAGCUCAACUCGGGCGCUGCUUCUGAAACUGCAGGACUUGAGUGCUGGAGGGGAUAGCGGAAUUCCUAGUGGAGCGGUAAAAUGCGCAGAUAUUAGGAAGAACACCGGUGGCGAAGGCGGCUAUCUGGACAGUAAGUGACGCUGAGGCGCGAAAGCGUGGGGAUCAAACAGGAUUAGAUACCCUGGUAGUCCUGGCCGUAAACGAUGAAUGCUAGGUGUGUGUGUAGAGAUACAUGCGUGCCGGAGUUAACGCGAUAAGCAUUCCGCCUGGGGAGUACGGUCGCAAGAUUGAAACUCAAAUGAAUUGGCGGGG
rnacentral:rRNA from 1 species